GCGCCAUUGUCUUGAGCGUGCUGAUAAAAACCUACCCUUCAAAAAAGACCUACCUUUCAAAAGCCCAUAUAGAUGCAAGGGGGCCUUGCAGAUGCUUGCAGUACGUCUUCUAUUGGCAUAUGCGUUUCUAGCAAUACUUUUCGGAAUGGGGAUGAUGUUCAAGAAUACUCUCAAAGCCAAAGUUGCCUCAAUUCCCGAUUCACAGGUAUCACAAUCACAUAUGGACAUAGAUUGGCAUGCAAAUACCGUUGAUUCUGCACCCAAUCUUCAGCCUGAGGCAAUGCAACCACAUGUAGAAGUAGAGUGUCAUGCAAGUGAGGUUGAUUCUGUUCCCAAUAUUCACCCUGAGGCCCCCCAAUCAGAUGAAAACUUAGAUUGUCGUGCAAGUGAGGUUGAUACUGUGUGCGAUCUUCACCCUGAGGCCCACCAAUCAGAUGAGAACUUAGAUUGUCAUGCAAGUGAGGUUGAUUCUGUUCCCAAUAUUCACCCUGAGGCCCCCCAAUCAGAUGAAAACUUAGAUUGUCGUGCAAGUGAGGUUGAUACUGUGUGCGAUCUUCACCCUGAGGCCCACCAAUCAGAUGAGAACUUAGAU
rnacentral:misc_RNA from 1 species